rnacentral:misc_RNA from 1 species
AACCAUAGAAACCUGCGGAGUACCUGCGGAGGGAUCAUUACCGAGUUUACAACUCCCAAACCCCUGUGAACAUACCUAUACGUUGCCUCGGCGGAUCAGCCCGCGCCCUGUAAAAAGGGACGGCCCGCCCGGGGACCCUAAACUCUGUUUUUAGUGGAACUUCUGAGUAAAACAAACAAAUAAAUCAAAACUUUCAGCAACGGAUCU